AAUAAUAUUGUUAUAGAACCAGUUUUAUAUUUUAUAAAUAUUUUUCUAUGUGGUUUCUAAUAUUUGUGUUUGUUUUUGUCAUGGGCUCGAGAUUGUCUAAAGCGCUGGGCUGAAUCUUUGGAGCAGUUAUUGGGCUUAUCAGUUGCGAAAGGGAGCAGAUGGGCUUAUGGUAUCGGUCUGCUAUAUUAAAGUGUUAGAUACGGAAGAUUGUGAAGGAUGGUCCAUUAGGUUCUCUCAAUUUUUCUUUCCAACAGUCUCUUUCACAGUUCGGUUUAGGGUUUGAGCGAAUAUUGUUUUGUUAACCUGUUAGAUCGAGAGCUGUGUGAGAAUAGGUCAUCGUGUUGGUGAUCGAUUCGUGAGCUGUGAGUUUGUUGAGAGUUUUACUUUGGUUUGAUUAGAUAUAUCUUUGUAAAAAUGUUCAGAUUCAUUUGAUUUUGUAAAGAUACCAUUGUUUUUGACAUGGUAUCAGAGCCAUCAGUGCUCUGUGGGUUAAUUAGUUCUUCUCUUCCGUUUUUUUCUUUCACCGGGUGUGAUUCUUCGUUCUAGGGUUUCAUAUUUUGGAGAUUUGGUGUCUUCUUGGAAGGUUGCACAGGUCUUACAAGAUCCGUGUUGUUCUUGUCGGUUGAAGAAGAUUGAUCGGAGUCAGUCUUGGUCGUUCGAGUGAAGAUUUAGGGGUUCUUGAAGUAUUGGUGAAUCGGAGCUCUUCUAAGAGUUCUUGGGUGAAUCGGAGUAUUAGGGUUCCGAUUGUUCAUCCGCUGACUUAGCUUGGGUGUUCUUCUACAGAUCUGUACCGGAGUUCUUGACUUGUGCUAUCGUUCGAGUAUCCACUGUUAUGGAGUCUUGUUUGGUCAGGCGCAUCUGCCGAUUUCAGAUUGUGUUCUCGAGAAGUGUGCCAGUGCAGAAUAGUAAAACCCAACUCUAGGGUUGUGCAGACGUUUGAGAAGAAGUUAAUACUCGUUGGUCUCUGUAUUCAAUAAGAAUACAGGGCAUACCAACAGUCUUGCUGCUGGACUAUUCUUCUUGCAGUAUCUUGUAGCCAUAAGUGAAGGCUACAAGACUGUAUAGCUCGGAGUUAACCGCUUCAAGUUGUUUACGAUUCUUGGUUGGAUUGCCCUGACUAUAAUUGUGAAGUCGAUGUGUUUUGGAAGUGAAACUUGUUUAGUAUCUUGGUAGUGGAUUGAAAGUUCAUUUGCUAGUUUAAAGUCAUGUGACUUUGUGUGUUGUCAGAUGUGUGUAUCUGAUAAUUGUUAUACAGUUAUAUAUUUCUAUGUUAAUUGGAAUAUAUUGUAUGAUUGUUCUCUUCAGUGGUGAUUACUGAAAUUUAUGAUAGCCUUGUGUUUUAGUCUCUUGUGUAAGAGAUAUUUUCUGGUCAUAAAAUCUUGUGAUUUUGUGGAUUAUCAGAAUUUGUUUAGGCUAUAAUUGUUGUCUGGUAUAGAAGUGUGUACUUCUUGUUAUUUUUCAGACUUGUUUCUUGAAUCUUGUUUCUCUCUACAACUUGUUAGCCUCUCGAGUACGCAUCAUAGAUUUAGGGUUCUUAGUUAGAAAUCUGUUAAAUCUGAGUGUUGAUGAAUGUAGGUCCAUCAUGUUGAUGGUCCAUGUUGAGAGUGCUAUGUAUUAUGUGAGAGAUUCGUAAGAUUUUUUGUAGCUCUCGUACAGUUUGUUCCCAAAAGUAUCUAGGGUUUCACAGAUUGAGUUGAUCUGCUUGAUUCUUGUAGAUUUAGUAUAGAUUAUCGUGGUGUGGUAAUCUGUAGGGUUGACUUGUGAGAGUUUCUUGUUAUAUUUGGCUAGAGAUUUGGUGUAUUUGUGUAUCGUUUCUAGUUUUUUACAAGUUUAACGUUGGUUGUUGUUCGAUACUCAUGUUUACAAGUCUUGUCUUAGUUCUUAAAAGUCAUGUGAUUUUUAUAUGACAUCAGAUAUAUAGUUCUGUUAUGCAAUCAUAUGAUUCUUUGUUAUUUGGAUAUGUUGUAUUAUUAUAUUUUCAAGGUGUUGACAUGAAUCCAAUUCUUUUCAGAUUUUUUAAUCACAUGAUUCAAAAUUUUCAGACAAGUCUUUAAAGUUGUGUGAUUCUUGUUUUAUUAUCGUAUAUGAUUCGCAUAUUGUAAUUGAAUCGUGUGAUUCAUUAUUUUUAUUAGAAAAUUGUUGUUUCUAAUUCUUUGUUGUUUAAUGAGGCGUGUGUCUGAUAUGCUUGUUGAACCGUGUGAUUCACUUUUCUGAUUUGGUUUCAUUAAAUGUUUUAGAAAGUUGUUAAACUUGUCCAUAGAUGAAUGAUUUAGUCAUUUGUUUUUGAAGUGGAUUAUAAGUUCACUAUUCAAAAAAAAAAUGGUAGUCUUGUGAUUUGUGAUAAUUGUUAUGGACACUUUGAUUUUCGUUUUUUUUUUCAUAUUUCGCUGAUCUUUUAUAACUAUACAUAAUUGGAGUUUCCUUGUUUCUUCUAAAGUGAAAAUUUGUUAUUCAGUUAUUUUAUUAAUUUUGAGUGAACCAAUGUUUAGUCAUUUGUUUUCAAAGUUAAAAAAGUUUGAGAAAAAAAAAACAAACAGUUUUUUGAUCUACUAUAGAAGUAGAGAUCGUGAUGUGUAUCAUGUUGUUUGUGAGGUUAAGUGGCUGGUAAAUGUGCUUGAUUAACUGAACGUUGUAUAUGCUUAGAAAGUGUUUAUUGCCACAAUUUCAUGAUAAUAUGUGUUAUCUCCUAGGACUUAUUAACAUGGUCGAAAUAUAAAACUGAGGGCGGGUGUUAAAAAUAAUAUUGUUAUAGAACCAGUUUUAUAUUUUAUAAAUAUUUUUCUAUGUGGUUUCUAAUAUUUGUGUUUGUUUUUGUCAUGGGCUCGAGAUUGUCUAAAGCGCUGGGCUGAAUCUUUGGAGCAGUUAUUGGGCUUAUCAGUUGCGAAAGGGAGCAGAUGGGCUUAUGGUAUCGAUCUGCUAUAUUAAAGUGUUAGAUACGGAAGAUUGUGAAGGAUGGUCCAUUAGGUUCUCUCAAUUUUUCUUUCCAACAGUCUCUUUCACAGUUCGGUUUAGGGUUUGAGCGAAUAUUGUUUUGUUAACAUGUUAGAUCGAGAGCUGUGUGAGAAUAGGUCAUCGUGUUGUUGAUCGAUUCGUGAGCUGUGAGUUUGUUGAGAGUUUUACUUUAGUUUGAUUAGAUAUAUCUUUGUAAAAAUGUUCAGAUUCAUUUGAUUUUGUAAAGAUACCAUUGUUUUUGACAUC